rnacentral:rRNA from 1 species
GAUGAACGCUGGCGGCGUGCCUAAUACAUGCAAGUCGAGCGAACGGACGAGGAGCUUGCUUCUCUUAUGUUAGCGGCGGACGGGUGAGUAACACGUGGAUAACCUACCUAUAAGACUGGGAUAACUUCGGGAAACCGGAGCUAAUACCGGAUAAUAUUUUGAACCGCAUGGUUCUAAAGUGAAAGACGGUUUUGCUGUCACUUAUAGAUGGAUCCGCGCUGUAUUAGCUAGUUGGUAAGGUAACGGCUUACCAAGGCAACGAUGCGUAGCCGACCUGAGAGGGUGAUCGGCCACACUGGAACUGAGACACGGUCCAGACUCCUACGGGAGGCAGCAGUAGGGAAUCUUCCGCAAUGGGCGAAAGCCUGACGGAGCAACGCCGCGUGAGUGAUGAAGGUCUUCGGAUCGUAAAACUCUGUUAUUAGGGAAGAACAUAUGUGUAAGUAACUGUGCACGUCUUGACGGUACCUAAUCAGAAAGCCACGGCUAACUACGUG